UACGUAGGGUGCAGGCGUUAAUCGGAAUUACUGGGCGUAAAGCGUGCGCAGGCGGUUUGCUAAGUGAGGUGUGAAAUCCCCGGGCUUAACCUGGGAACUGCGCUUCUAACUGGCAGGCUUGAGUGUGGCAGAGGGGGGUGGAAUUCCACGUGUAGCAGUGAAAUGCGUAGAGAUGUGGAGGAACACCGAUGGCGAAGGCAGCGCCCUGGGAUAACACUGACGCUCAUGCACGAAAGCGUGGGGAGCAAACAGG
rnacentral:rRNA from 1 species